ACACACAAGUCGAGAGGUUGGACGAUUCGAGAAAGACAGAGUGAAGGAUUUCAGAGUCGUCAUCAUUAAAUAUCUGGAGUCACUAGUUCACACACAGCAGCAGCUGAUAAAAUACUGGGAGGCAUUCUUACCUGAAGCCAAAGCGAUCUCGUAAUUCAUCAAAUCACCGUCUUUCUUUAUUCCACAGUAUGAUCAUGCAAGAAAAAGCUGCACAGACUUAAUGAUAACACUACAUUAAUAAACCCAGAAUCUGAAUCUCUUCAUAUUUGUACCUUCACUCGGUUGAAGAUCCAGCGAUCGUCUCUUCACGAUUCACAGCUCGUUCGUCUCAGAUUGAAUGUUGCAUUAGGCAAUGAUCCGGCAGGGGAAGGCCUUCUGAAGCGUUUUCUGUUCUCCUUUCUCUCGUAUGUACAGAAUGAAGCAUUAUUCUCUCAUAAUCAGUAUUUAAGAGCAUCAAUAAUCGACGAGGCUUCUGGGAGCUCGUGCACGACGGACGGA